rnacentral:rRNA from 1 species
UACGUAGGGUGCGAGCGUUGUCCGGAUUUAUUGGGCGUAAAGAGCUCGUAGGCGGCUUUGUAAGCCGGGUGUGAAAACCCCAGGCUCAACCUGGGGACGCCACUCGAUACUGCAAUAGCUAGAGUUUGGUAGGGGAUCACGGAAUUCCUGGUGUAGCGGUGAAAUGCGCAGAUAUCAGGAGGAACACCGGUGGCGAAGGCGGUGAUCUGGGCCAAUACUGACGCUGAGGAGCGAAAGCGUGGGGAGCAAACAGG